GCCUUCUCCUCCUCAUUCAUUGCCGUCAUCUCCUUCUUCUCCACCUCCUCUUCGUCUCUCUCACCAUAUUCCUCAACCUUCCAUCCUUCUACGUGACUUUCACUGCAAUGCUACCAUGCUGCCUUCCCCUGCUCAGUCUUCUUCUUCCCCCACACCGGGUAAGGGUUCCAGGUAUCCAUUGUCCACUUUUCUUGCUUAUGAUCGCUUGUCUUCUACUCACCGCACCUUUGUUGCAGCAAUCUCCAAAAUCAUAGAACCCACUACCUAUGCCCAGGCUUCCACUGACCCUCUUUGGUGUGAUGCCAUGGCAAAAGAACUUCAGGCACUUGAGCAAAAUCACACAUAGUCUCUUACCUCUUUACCUGCAGGAAAGCACCCCAUUGGCUGCAAAUGGGUCUAUAAGGUGAAAUAUCACUCUAACGGCACUGUCGAACACUACAAAGCGCGACUUGUCGCCAAAGGCUACACUCAACAGGAAGGCCUCGACUAUACCGAGACCUUCUCUCCCACUAACAAGCUGGUUACAUUCCGAUGCCUUCUUGCUCUUGCCGCCGUCCGUAAUUGGCCUCUACAUCAGCUUGACGUUCAAAAUGCCUUCCUCCAUGGUGAUUUGAAUGAGGAGGUUUACAUGACUCUCCCGCCUGGUUUUCGCCGACAGGGGGAGAAUUUGGUGUGUCGACUACACAAAUCUCUGUACGGCCUGAAACAAGCUUCACGUAAUUGGUUUGUCAAGUUUACUACAGCGCUACGUGCAGCUAGUUUUGUUCAGUCCCUAGCCGAUUACUCCUUAUUCACAAGGUCUCAAAAUAAUUCAUUUACUGCACUAUUGAUCUAUGUAGAUGACAUUGUGAUUACAGGGGAUGAUCCUAAAGCUAUCCAGUCAAUCAAAGACUUCCUCAAUGUUCGCUUUCGCAUCAAGGAUUUGGGACCUCUCAAAUACUUCUUGGGUAUCGAAGUUGCACGAUCAAAGAAGGGAAUUUUCAUUUCACAGCGGAAAUAUGCACUGGAGAUACUGGAUGAUGUCGGGUUGCUAGGUGCCCGACCUUCACCUUUUCCCAUGGAACAAACACUGAGACUUAGGCCUGAUGAAGGCAAGCCGCUGAAAGAUGCCACCAAGUACCGUCGAUUAGUUGGCCGACUUAUAUACCUUACGGUAACCCGGCCUGACAUUGCUUUUUCUGUUCACAUCCUGAGCCGCUUCAUGCAUCAACCCCAUCAGCCACAUCUAGAUGCAGCACUACGAGUGUUACGUUACCUAAAGUCUUCUCCAGGCCAAGGGAUUUUUUUUGCAGCUCAUAAUGAUUUGAAGCUCAAGGCCUUUUCUGACUCUGAUUGGGGGAGUUGUCCCACCACAAGACGAUCUGUGACAGGUUACUGUACCUUCCUUGGGAACUCUCUGAUCUCGUGGAAAUCAAAGAAACAAAACACCAUUGCACGUUCGUCUGCAGAAGCGGAGUACCGUGCCAUGGCGGAUACAUGUUGCGAGUUAACAUGGCUGAGAUAUAUUCUCAAUGACUUGGGCAUUCGGCAUUCAGAACCUGCGACACUACACUGCGAUAACCAGUCGGUAUUACACAUUGUCAAAAACCCUGUCUUUCAUGAACGGACAAAACAUAUAGACCUGGAUUGUCAUUUGGUGCGACAAAAUAUUACAUCAGGAUUGGUUUCCACUACAUACACGCCAACAAAUUUGCAAGUGGCAGACCUCUUCACAAAACCGUUAGGCAAGGCUUCCUUUGGAACACUACUUGGCAAGUUGGGAGUGUACAAUAUCCACUCGCCAACUUGAGGGGGAGUGUUGAGAUAUGGGUUUAUUCCAAUUGAUAUUUGGGAAUAUUGUAAUUGAUUCUUUCCUAGUUUAGAGAUAGCGUGACCUGUUGUUUAGGGUCCUAGUUUGGCUAACUGCUUAAUUGUGGGGUCUAUAUUGCUAUAUCAAUCCCUAUAUAUGUACCUGCAC
rnacentral:lncRNA from 1 species